rnacentral:rRNA from 1 species
GACGUAGGGGGCGAGCGUUGUCCGGAUUUAUUGGGCGUAAAGCGCGCGUAGGCGGCCCGUUAAGUCGGAUGUGAAAACCCGGGGCUCAACCCCGGGCCUGCAUCCGAUACUGGCGGGCUCGAGGCAGGCAGGGGAGAUCGGAAUUCCUGGUGUAGCGGUGAAAUGCGCAGAUAUCAGGAGGAACACCGUGGCGAAGGCGGAUCUCUGGGCCUGUCCUGACGCUCAGGCGCGAAAGCUAGGGGAGCAAACAGGA